rnacentral:rRNA from 1 species
UUGAAAUCUGGCACCUUCGGUGUCCGAGUUGUAAUUUGAAGAAGGUAACUUUGGAGUCAGCUCUUGUCUAUGUUCCUUGGAACAGGACGUCACAGAGGGUGAGAAUCCCGUGCGAUGAGAUGUCUGAUUCUAUGUAAAGUGCUUUCGAAGAGUCGAGUUGUUUGGGAAUGCAGCUCUAAGUGGGUGGUAAAUUCCAUCUAAAGCUAAAUAUUGGCGAGAGACCGAUAGCGAACAAGUACAGUGAUGGAAAGAUGAAAAGAACUUUGAAAAGAGAGUGAAAAAGUACGUGAAAUUGUUGAAAGGGAAGGGUUUGAGAUCAGACUUGGUAUUUUGUAUGUCUUGCUUUCGGGUGGGGCCUCUACAGUUUACUGGGCCAGCAUCGGUUUGGACGGUAGGAUAAUGACAUUGGAAUGUGGCACCACUUCGGUGGUGUGUUAUAGACUUUGUUGAUACUGCCUGUCUAGACCGAGGACUGCGUCUUUGACUAGGAUGCUGGCAUAAUGAUCUUAAACCGCCC